rnacentral:tRNA from 2 species
AGGGCAGUGGCUCAACUGGUAGAGCAUCGGUCUCCAAAACCGACGGUUGGGGGUUCGAGUCCCUCCUGCCCUGCGA